rnacentral:misc_RNA from 1 species
GUUUGGAUAUACGUGGUUAUAUGACGUAUUUUGUUGAUAAAACUUCCACAUAUCGUGUUGUACUUCCAUAGACACGUAUGACAACGUCACAUCAGCUGAAGAAUACAUUUCGACUGUGUCAGCUAAAUCGCGGAAAAUUCCACGAUGACGGAAGAUAACCGACGAAUCUUCAUGCAUAGAUGGAUCUCGAAGAUAGUAAUCACUACGUACGUCGCGCUCAUUAUUCUCAAUCUACCGACUAUCUGCCAGACUCACGAGCAUCACGACAACGAAUCGCCGAGUUACAAAUAUUCCAAAGAAGCCAACCGGAUCUAUUCAAGUGAUCAUCAGCAUCACAACGGACACAAUCACGACCAUGAACACGUCCAUAAACACGAUCAUGAACCCUCUCAUUCGGCACAAGCAAAUGUUUCGCAGAAAGAUCAUAACGAUAUUAUUUUAAGAGCCGUCGGAUCGACCUUAAUCAUAUCUGCUGCACCUUUCUUCAUUUUGUUCUUUGUACCUCUAGACAAUACCAAGCAACGUGAGUCGUUGUUAAAAAUCUUACUGAGCUUUGCAUCUGGUGGCCUACUGGGUGAUGCGUUUCUUCAUUUGAUCCCCCAUGCAUUGGUUCCUCAUGCACAUGAGUCUUCGGAGGCACAUUCACAUUCACAUUCACAUGACCAUCAUGAGGAACAUGGGCAUCACCAACAUGACACGUCAGUUGGCUUGUGUGUACUGUUAGGUAUAAUAGUAUUCUUAAUAGUAGAGAAGGCAGUGCGCAUUAUUAAAGGCAAUCACAGUCAUUCUAAUGACCAUCACACUGAAGAAGAAAAGGAAGAUGAUUCAUCAGAGAAGAAGGAAAAGAAGAAAAGCAGUAAAAUGGUUUCCAAGGAGCAAGAAGUACCUGUAAGCAACAUAAAGAUUGCUGGCUACUUGAACUUGGUUGCAGAUUUUCUGCAUAACUUCACGGAUGGUCUAGCUAUAGGAGCUAGUUACAUGGCUGGAAAUAGUAUCGGAUACAUUACAACAUUCACAAUUUUGUUGCAUGAAAUCCCGCAUGAAAUCGGUGAUUUCGCUAUCUUGAUACAAAGCGGCUAUAGCAAAAGAAAGGCUAUGAUGUUGCAGUUGGUCACUGCUGUAGGUGCUUUGCUCGGAACUUUUGUUUCUUUAUUGGCUGAAGGAAUGGGUGAUUUUGCAACAAAGUGGAUUCUUCCGUUUACAGCAGGAGGUUUUAUUUACAUUGCAACUGUUUCUGUAAUACCAGAGCUCUUGACGGCCACUAAAUUUUGGCAGUCAUUCAAGGAGAUUGCUGCACUCCUUUUUGGAGUAUACAUGAUGGUUCAUAUAGCAAAUUAUGAAUAAGAAAUACAUUUGCUAUAGGAUGAACUUUUUGAUUGGUUUAUUUUACUCAUUGAAGUUCUGAGAAAAAAUUUCCAUUACAUAAAGCGGUGGUGCAGAAAAUUUGUUUUUGAUACGAUGUUUUCUUCUGAAAAGAUAUGUUAUCUUAAUAUCUCCUGAAUACCAGUGACAUGAAUAUCAUCCUUAUAUACUUCUGUGAUGAAUGCUGCAUUUAUGUUUGAGAAAAAAAAUGAAUAGAAUUGCAAAAAUAAGUAUGUUACAUCAUAAAAAGGAAGAGAAUAAUGUAAGCCUCUAUAUACCAUCCCUUAUUUUUACAUUAAAAAAGAGAAGCUAUGUGAUUUUGUGAAUAUCUUGUGAAAUAUAAAACCAGAUAUAAAAAUGUUAUAAAGACUUAUGUCACCAGACAGUGUUAUGAUAAGAGUUAUUUUCAUAACCAAUAUAUUCUAAAGAAUAUUUCAUGAAGAUGCCGAAUAGAAAUUGUAAAUACAAUUUGUGAUGUACCAGAAAUGAUUAUCAUGUUAUUUAAUAGAGAGCAAAAAGCUUUCGAUAAUGUUCGGAAAGUUAUAAUAAAUUUGACAAAUUUAUAUUAUACACAAAUUAAUCUUACAUCUUAACUGAAAAAUAUACAGUUGUGGAAAGCAAGGCUGAUGUACAAUGCAGUUGAUUUGCUUCUGAAAUAUGGAUGUACUUAUAAGAUUUAUACAGAGAGAUGAAUAGCUAUAUGGAAAGAUUGGGUUUUAUGGAUGUGUGUGUAUGCACAUAUGUUCCACGUUAUCAUCGUUUAUUAUGUAAAAACAUUACCUGAUAUUUUUUUAUUGCAACUUCCUUAUUUUUAAUAUUGAAAUAAAUUAUGACAUGACAAACUAAUUAAUGUAUUCAUAUGACAUAGAAUACAGUGGAAUCUAAUGCAAAUGCUACAAACGCACAAAUGACAUUGAAAACCACGCAUACAACAUAGAAAAUCGUGUUCUGAAGUAACACAGGUCUAUUUCUUGUGGCCACUAUUCAUUGAGUAUUAAAUAAUAAAUGGUUUAUUUGAUGAAAAA